GGAUGACUAGCUCAGCCGGUUAGAGCAUCUGCUUUACACGCAGGGGGUCGGGGGUUCGAAUCCCUCGUCAUCCACCA
rnacentral:tRNA from 1 species